rnacentral:misc_RNA from 1 species
UCAAACUUGGUCAUUUAGAGGAAGUAAAAGUCGUAACAAGGUUUCCGUAGGUGAACCUGCGGAAGGAUCAUUAGUGAAAACAGUCUUGGAUGAUGCUGGCACUCGUUUGCAGGUGCACUCCUUGAACUUUCUGACCCCCUUAUUCACACCUUUGUGCACGACCCAGUAGGUUGGUCAAACAAAGCCAGCCUAUGUUUUUCAUCUCAACACACCUUUUUAUAUGUUGGUGAAUGUACAUUUUAUUAAAUGAAACAACUUUCAACAAUGGAUCUCUUGGUUCUCGCAUCGAUGAAGAACGCAGC